GCUCGUUCUGUCAGUGACGUCUGAGCAUGCGCCGGAAGCGUGGAGACGCGUUCGGCAUGACUUUCCGUCAGGAGCAGCAGGCCGCGGAUCGACCAGAGAAUAUGCAGUUUUUAGAGGCAUAAUAGCGCGUUUAUCUCAUGACAGCACCGCGCAGCUCCGCUUGAGGCCGCUGGAUGGAGAAACCGCAAAUAUGGCGAGCUAACCGGGUUACGCAGGAGAGGUGCGAGUGUGUGUGCGACGUGUGAUUUUGUGUGUGAGGUCAUCGGCCGCAAUGAUGCAACAAAAGCGCAACAUUCAGAUCAUCGAAUGGGAGGAUCUGGACAAGAGGAAGUUCUACUCGCUGGGCGUCUUCAUGACCAUGACCACACGGGCCACCGUCUACCCGUUCACCCUGAUCCGCACCAGACUGCAGGUCCAGAAGGGGAAGUCGCUCUAUAACGGCACCUUCGACGCCUUCUUUAAGAUUCUGAAGGCCGAGGGGGCGCGUGGCCUCUACCGAGGGUUCAUGGUCAACUCGUUCACACUGAUCUCAGGUCAGGCCUACAUCACUACCUAUGAGUUGGUAAGGAAAUACGUCUCCUGUUACUCGUCCAAUAACACGGUCAAGUCUCUGGUGGCGGGCGGAGCGGCGUCGCUGGUGGCCCAAAGCAUCACGGUGCCCAUCGACGUGGUGUCCCAGCAGCUGAUGGUGCAGGGUCAGGGGUGUCAGCUCACACGUUUUAAACUCAAGCCCAAGAUGGCAGUGGCCACGUCCAAACAUAAAGUCACAUUUGGUCAGACCAGAGACAUUGUGGUUCAGAUUUUUCACGCGGAUGGAUUUCGGGGGUUUUAUCGUGGAUAUGUGGCGUCGCUGCUCACCUACAUACCCAACAGCGCCGUCUGGUGGCCCUUUUAUCACUUUUAUGCAGCUCUCCAAACUGGCCCCUGCUGACUGUCCGCACCUCCUCCUGCAGGCCGUGGCGGGACCGAUGGCUGCAGCUACAGCCUCCACCCUGACCAACCCUAUGGACGUGGUCCGAGCCAGAGUACAGGUUGAAGGUCGUUCGUCUGUGAUCGAGACGUUUAAGCAGCUCAUGGCUGAAGAAGGUGUGUGGGGUCUCACGAAGGGUCUGUCCGCACGCAUCAUUUCCUCCUUGCCCACGUCUGUCAUGAUCGUCAUCGGUUACGAGACACUAAAGAGACUCAGUCUGCGUCCUGAACUGGUGGACAGCAGACACUGGUGAAAACACUCACCUGACGCUAUACCUCAGCCUUUUAAACAGAUGCCUUUUAUUAUUUUCACAUUUUAUGAGGACCAGGCAAUAAGUGACGCUCAAAUGUGAAGAUAUGUAUUUCCUUUCUAGUGGAUUUUGUAUAUUUUGUAACCUUUAAUCUGUUCCCGUGAACUCCGGCCCAUACUGGUAUUUUGUAACGAGACGUCAUGGAACUUCUUUUUUGUCUUUUUCGCUUGAUAUGUGUUUGUUUCAGGUUUAAAAGUGAAAAAUACAUUGAAAUGGUGAAUUUGACUCUUGUGAAUCUCAUGGGGUGCACUUCACUUCAUAUGACAGGAAGUGAGAUCAUCACAUCUGUUACAUGCUAGAAAUAAAGAUAACAUGGCUGCAUCUGUCCGAAAGCUUCGGAGGCAAGUCCGAACCCAAUGUUAGCUUCACUUCCUGUCUCCUGAGAUGCCUAUCUGAUUUUUGAAGGCAGCAUGUAUUCUUUGCUGCCUUUUGAUAUCCCACAAUCAUUUGCUUUCCAUUCUGUGACAGUUGAGCUAAACAAAAAAUAAAGAUGGCGUCUGAAAUUUGCCGUUGGUGGUCAGUUUGUGUGAAAAUAUUACGUUUUGACCGACGUUUUCCACUUCUGAUGUCAUUUCUACCGAGAAAUUUCUAUUUCUAUUGUAAAUAUUUUCUUAGUUAUCACCAAAGCUCGCUCUAUUUUGCUGUAGAUCAUUUAACCGUUACGCUGCCUCGUCUGUCCGAAAUCAGUUUCGUGAGGUAAUGUUACCUUCGCGCGCAACCGCUUUUUCGGACGCUUUUCACACUUGAAACCCUGGGGCAUUUUUAAUUGAACUGAAUAUUUAGGUUUUUAGAUUUCUCACACUACAUGAGUGUGGGCCGGUUCACACAGAACGCGUUUUGCUGUUAAAAACACGAGACGAAGGUCAGUGGAGAGCAAAAAGAGCGCAAAUUAUUUUUUAAAAUGGCGCGUCAUGCGCGAGACGCGGCAAAAGACAGGAGAGGAGAGCGCGAAGAUGUCCGGCUAUUAAAAUACAUUGAAAAACAAUGGAAAAGUAGACCAGUGGAAAUGGGAAAAUGCGUUCUGUAUAAACUGCACCUUAUUGUUCUUAUUUGCCUAUUUACAAGGUUAUUAAAGGGCUAGUUCACCCCAAAAUGAAAAUUCUGUCACUUAUUACUCACCCUCAUGUUGUUCCACACCCGUAAGACCUUCAUUCAUCUUCGGAACACAAAUUAA